ACAGGUUUUCGUCAUCAAUUUAUGAAAUAAAUGGAGGCUAUCGUCGGAAUCAGAAAAAUUUUGUCCAUAGCAGUAAGCUCUUGCCUUUUCAAGGGGGGGAGAUGUAAUAAUGAAAACCUGGUAUGUAAAAGUCUAAAAGGCUAUUUAUAAAGAAAUAGAAGAAUAAUAAAUAUUCUGACACAAAAUUGACAUAAAUCUUGUUCCGUCAAUUUUAAAAUCUAAUUUAAUAUUUUCUUACAUAUUUGUUAAUUUUUUUCGUUUAAACUUGUUAAUGUAUUAUUUGUUAUUGUUAAUUUAAAGAUUAGAAUGUUAAAGACUUAUAAAACCGAUUUUCUUUAAGGAGAAAAAACGGUGUUUAGUCUAUGUCCCGAGUUUCCAGAGUUUCUACAUUAUAUACAUAUGU
rnacentral:lncRNA from 1 species